rnacentral:pre_miRNA from 1 species
UCUAAUGGAUGAGUAAAGAAAGCGGUUUCUUGAGAUGGAACCUACUCUCGGUGAAGAAGCUGUGAA